AGUGAACGCUGGCGGUAGGCCUAACACAUGCAAGUCGAACGGCAGCACAGUAAGAGCUUGCUCUUACGGGUGGCGAGUGGCGGACGGGUGAGGAAUACAUCUGAAUCUACUUUUUCGUGGGGGAUAACGUAGGGAAACUUACGCUAAUACCGCAUACGACCUACGGGUGAAAGCAGGGGAUCUUCGGACCUUGCGCGAUUGAAUGAGCCGAUGUCGGAUUAGCUAGUUGGCGGGGUAAAGGCCCACCAAGGCGACGAUCCGUAGCUGGUCUGAGAGGAGGAACGGCCCCCCGGGAGGGGACAACGGGUCCGGCCACCUACGGGGGGGAGGGAGGGGGAAUGUUGAUAAAGGGGGGGAGGCAUGUCCCAACCAGCCCGGCGGGGUGAAGAAGGCCUUCGGUUUGUAAAGCCUUUUUUUUGGAAAAGAAAAGAAGCCGUUUAACCCCCCGGUUUCUGAACGGACCCAAAAAAUAAAGCCCGGCUAAAUUCGUG
rnacentral:rRNA from 1 species